CAGAAAAUAGUUUAUAAAAAAUAUUAAUUUUGGAGAUUAAUGAAGUAAAUAAAUUUUAUUUUUCUGA
rnacentral:tRNA from 1 species